CCAAACUGACCCCACCUCUUGCCCAUUACCUGGCCAUGGCACAAACCCCAUCGCCACGGGUUCACUCAACGU
rfam:Pseudomonas taeanensis MS-3 contig_01, whole genome shotgun sequence.